ACCAGGUUCGCCAAGUGGUUAAGGUGUUGGCUUUAAGAUCCAAUGCACAUGUGGGUUUAAACACCACUCCUAGUA